rnacentral:rRNA from 1 species
UCGAGGGGCAUCAUGAGGUAGCAAUACCUUGAUGGCGACCGGCGCACGGGUGAGUAACGCGUAUGCAACCUGCCCGAUACCGGGGUAUAGCCCAUGGAAACGUGGAUUAACACCCCAUAGUACUUUUAUCCUGCAUGGGAUGUGAGUUAAAUGUUCAAGGUAUCGGAUGGGCAUGCGUCCUAUUAGUUAGUUGGCGGGGUAACAGCCCACCAAGACGAUGAUAGGUAGGGGUUCUGAGAGGAAGGUCCCCACAUUGGUACUGAGACACGGACCAAACUCC